CUCUCCACUGAGGUUGAGCAAGCCUCAUAAAGGAAAGCCAGUCUUCAAAAAGCCUCUGAUUGGUCUGCUUGGACCCUGUAUCUGGCAGGAGGAGACCCUGAUUGGCCAGCCAUGGUCACGUGCACCUGCAAGAUAUCGAAAGGAUACCUACGAUCACGGGCAGGUCCGAAGACCAUUCUAUUUUUUAAUAUUAGAAAGGGAUUCUUAACUGCAGAUUAAGAGAGACAGUAAAGAAAGCAAGAAGAGAAGGGAGCCAGGAAAAGCCCAGCCCAGGAAGCAGCGAAGGAAGGUUCCAGGACAGCAGCGUACGACAGGUCAAGGAGGUAGCCAAGGGAAACGGCACUAACUGUCAUGCCGGAGCACUGGAGCGGAGUGGAGGAGUGAUCGUGGCGGGCAGCACAGAAAGAGAAGGAGAAGAAAUUAAACCCCGGGGGGUCAGGGGACAGAAACGAGUGCCAUCGGACUACAUGAGUAAGCUCUGCGGUGAACAAUGCUUACCUAGUCACAAUUCUGCAACCACUAUCAAUCAUGGGGCAAGAGUGACAAAACUGAACCCCAAGAAUGGAAUGGGUGGGGGGUGUUAAAGACCUAACUCCUUGCCUGUGUUGCUAGGAAGUCCACAGACAGUGUCUAAAAUGGAUGAAUCAGAGCACCUGGGUGGCUCAGUCGGUUGAGCGUCUGACGUCAGCUCAGGUCACGAUUUCACGGUUCGUGGGUUCGAGCCCCGCAUCGGACUUUGUGUUGACAGCGCAGAGCCUGCUUGGGAUUCUCUCUCUCCUUCUCUCUCUUUCAAAAAAAAAAAAAAAAAACAUUAGAAAAAUCUUUUAAAUGGAAGAAUUAAGAGCGAGAAACACAAGAUAGGUGGAGAUAAGCACCAGAAGAUCCAGCGAGAGAUUACCUGGUGGACUCGUGGCCCACGAAUGGUGGAAAUGUGCGCCAGAGUAAGAUGCAGAGAGGAGGACAAGCCCGUAGACUUUGCAGAGGGGCCGAGAGGCCUGAGAAGUAAGAGAAGACCAGGAGACAGGGGCUCCUGAAAAGAUAGAUAAGAGAUUACCAUGCGGGGUUCCCACAGCUUUUGCAGACAGCGGCUGCGCAAAAAUUCAUUGGAAGAACUGAGGAAUGUUGCUGGCUCCAUCUGGGGGAGGGCAUGCUUGUAUCAAGACACUGAUGCUCUUGAUGUGCUAUAAUUAUAACCAGAAACACUAUCCUUUUGCCCAGGAAACUGGAUUUCCCAGUAAAUUCCUUACUUUCCAACUUGUUUAACGCUAAGAUAAUGCUUUGCUUCUGUGUUCUUAUUUCUUUAUCUUUAACAUUUAUUUACUUUUGAGAGGGAGAGCACAAGCGAGGGAGGGGCAGAGAGAGAGAGAGAGAGAGAGAGAGAGAGAGAGAGAGAGAGGAUCCCAAGCAGGCUCUGCACGGUCAGCGCAGAGCCCAAUGCAGGGCUGGAACUCACAACUGUGAGAUUGUGACCUGAGCCGAAGUCAGACACUUAACCGACCGAGCCAGCCAGGCAUCCCUCCGUGUCCUUAUUUCUAACUUUCUGUUCAACUGUUAACCAUACUAAAUGUACUCAGAUUCAUCUAGUCUAAAAUCGAGGAGAGGUGGUUCUCGCGCCUAGAGAGAGAAUUAUUGAAGAGGCAGCCCGCACACACUCAGGUGCCACAUCUCCAACAGCUGGUUUUAUAAAUGGAAACAGGCACUGGGACCCCUUCUUCUCCCCUUCCCAGAAAGGCUGAUGGAGAGCCUGGCCCAGAUCAGUGGAGCUUUCUUCCAAGAAGUGUCCCGUUCCCAGACCAGCCCUGUAGACACCCCCAAAGUCCCCCUGGACCUGCAGGUAGCAGUACCUCUCCACCCCAGUACUCACCCCACACUCAGGCCCUAAGAUCCCAUUUGACCUAAGCCUGCAGGUAUGAAGUGUCCAAAGCACAGGACAUCUGUCCCCACCCCCACCAACACACACUCUUGACCUUUUGUUCUGAGUCCAUGUGAAAGAGAAAUGUCAACUCUACCAAGUAAAGGAAACAAACAACUUCCUGGCUAGAUGAGAAUAACCAGAACCUUAAGCUUCAUGCCUGGGGGCUGACGGGUACCUAAAGGUGCUCCCUUGGUGAUAGGGGUGAUCAAAACCUGUAUGCUUUUCCUGAGAACCACCAGGUGGGAAGCACCACCUGCACUGAUGCCCUCAGGGAGGCAAAACUAGGGUAGACGUUAUUGGUCCGAUUUUACAAGUGGGAACCUUCCGGGCAGGAGGCCAACAGACAGCCUCAACGGUGGAUAGUGCUGUGCCCAGGCAAGGUCAUGAACCCAGAAGGCGGCCGGGAUCUAGUGAGACGCGGACACUGC